GUGGAAAUUGACCACGCCCCUUUUGCACCAUUGAUCCGCGCUGUGCCCAAGCCCACAUCGAAGCUGACUUGGGCGACGGGUAUUACUCACAAUCCAUUGCUGUGUGAGUACUUUCGGAAGGUGGAAAAAUGGCUCCAGUACCUUUUCUGAAAAUAUGCAAUUUCAAACAAAAGUUCAUUUUAAGAUGAUUAAUGAUAUUUAUUCAUGCUCUGAAUGUUUUAGACUAAUAUUUAUUAUGAUCAGCAAUGAAUGUAAAUUUUGUCAAGAAAUUAUUUGUUUGAAAGUUGUUAAUUAAGACUUUUUUAUAAAGUAGCACAAACAGCGGCCAGCAUGCGAUGCGGUCGAUGACGCAACGCUCCCUGUCCCAUUACGGCAAAUAGCUGCACAAUUGUGUACCACACACUUGAAGCCUCACUGCACACUUCCUCAAAUGCUCUUAGCUGAAGACCGUAGGGCGCAGUAUAAGUACUGGGAUUGGGCCGCAGAGGUUUGCAACCGAAACUGGGUUGAAUCUCAGCUCAGCUCAGGAUGUUCACCCAGAACCAGAAGCUCUCCACAGUUCAGCAUUCUUUUAUUUAAAAUUCUUUUUCAUUUUUUUAGUUCACCGUUCUUUGUUCCUUUUAGAGCAGCUGAGCACACCUCGUGGAGCUUUUUUAUUAUGGAGAACAAGAAAAUGAUGGAAUGUGGCAUCGGAAACUUGCAAACACUCACCUGCAGCUGACACCAGAACAGGCGGCGGCUACCUGGACCCCAUCUGCUGAGGGGAACACACACCUGCAGGUGAAGACGGAGGGAUGGAAAGAGAAGGAACAGAGAGGAGGAGUAAUGAGGGAGCAGCAGAGAGGAGGCUGAAGAUAAACAGAUCCCAGCUAAUCUGAUUGCUCCUCUGCUGCUCAGAACAAUGGCCUCCACACAAACACCAGCAAUUGGUUCGUAAACUCUGCUCAGAUGUUUCUGAUGAGAUUCUGAGUCCUAAAUAUGAAAAAGAAAACUACAUGGCUGCCCAGCUGCAGGGAAGUGAGGCAUUCGUUUAUGAAGCCCUUGUCAGCUUAUUGAAUUCACGCACCCAAGCAGUCUGAGCUUUU